AUGCCGUGGACUGUGACCUGGGAUGCAGGGGUCCCUGACAAGAGCGUCGUGACCCUCCCCACCACCCUCCAGGAGACCUCUGGCCUCUACACCACCACCAGCCACGUGACCGUCUCGGGCGAGUGGGCCAAACAGAAGUUCACCUGCAGCGUGGCUCACGCGGAGUCCCCCACCAUCAACAAGACCGUCAGUGCGUGUGCCAUGAACUUCACUCCCCCCACCGUGAAGCUCUUCCACUCCUCGUGUAACCCCCUCGGUGACACCAGUAGCACCAUCCAGCCUCCUGUGCCUCAUCUCCGGCUACGUCCCAGGUGA